rnacentral:tRNA from 1 species
GCCCUAGUAGCUUAAACACAAAGCAUUGAUCUUGUAAAUCAAAGACGGGAACCGCAUUCCCCAAGGACA